rnacentral:rRNA from 1 species
UACGUAGGGGGCAAGCGUUGUCCGGAAUCAUUGGGCGUAAAGAGCGUGUAGGCGGCCCGAUAAGUCCGCUGUGAAAGUCCAGGGCUCAACCCUGGAAAGCCGGUGGAUACUGUCGGGCUAGAGUCCGGAAGAGGCGAGUGGAAUUCCUGGUGUAGCGGUGGAAUGCGCAGAUAUCAGGAGGAACACCGGUGGCGAAGGCGGUCUGCUGGGCCAGUACUGACGCUGAGGCGCGACAGCGUGGGGAGCAAACAGG